rnacentral:rRNA from 1 species
UACGUAUGGAGCAAGCGUUAUCCGGAUUUACUGGGUGUAAAGGGAGUGUAGGUGGCCAUGCAAGUCAGAAGUGAAAAUCCGGGGCUCAACCCUGGAACUGCUUUUGAAACUGUAAGGCUGGAGUGCAGGAGGGGUGAGUGGAAUUCCUAGUGUAGCGGUGAAAUGCGUAGAUAUUAGGAGGAACACCAGUGGCGAAGGCGGCUCACUGGACUGUAACUGACACUGAGGCUCGAAAGCGUGGGGAGCAAACAGG